CGGGGCGGCGGCGUGUUGCUCGCUCCCCGCCUCCGCCUUCGGGGAGGAGAGCGCGGGGUGCCGGGGCGAAGCAGCGGGUGAUGGGGAAGAGGCGAGCGCGGCGCUGAGAGUCCUGUGGGGCCGGAUGAGCCGAGGCUUGGCGCCGCGGCGGUGGCGGGGCUGGAGGAGAGGGCGAAGGAGGCUGUAGGGGCGGCCCCCGCUCCGGCUGCCCUGAGGGGAAGGAGCCCCCGACCAUGGAGAUCGAGAACAUCGUGGCCAACACGAGUGCUGCUGAAAGCCCGGGAGGGCAAACGGAGUGGGCGUAGUAAAAAAUGGAAAGAGAUGCUGAAGUUGCCACCUGUUAGUCACUGUGAAGGUAUUAGAUCCUCAAUUGAAAGAGACUAUAGCCAGCUUUGUGACAAACAGCCUAUAGGAAGACUUCUCUUCAGACAGUUCUGUGAUUCCAGACCAGAUUUGAAAAGAUGCAUCGAAUUUCUGGAUGCAGUGGCAGAAUAUGAGGUAUCUUCAGAUGAAAAGCGUAUAGACUGUGGCCUCAAAGUUUUAGAGACGUACUUCACUAAUGGGUCUGCAGCACACUUGCCAGAAAUACCUCAGGAAACAGUAAAUGAAUGUAAAGCAAGACUGGAAAAGAACCCUUCUAAGGAUCUUUUUAUGGACUGUACUAGAAUUGUCCAUGAAUACCUAAGCAAAAGACCUUUUGAAGCUUACCAAGAAAGUGUGUAUUUUUCCCGUUUCUUACAGUGGAAAUGGCUGGAAAAGCAACCAGUAACCAAACACACAUUUAGGCAUUACCGAGUCCUAGGCAAAGGUGGAUUUGGAGAGGUGUGUGCCUGUCAAGUACGGGCAACAGGAAAAAUGUAUGCUUGUAAAAAGCUAGAAAAAAAGAGAAUAAAGAAGAGGAAAGGAGAAUCAAUGGCUCUAAAUGAAAAAAGAAUUCUAGAAAAAGUGAAUAGUAGGUUUGUAGUUAGUUUAUCCUACACGUACGAAACGAAAGAUGCCCUGUGUUUAGUAUUAACCAUAAUGAAUGGAGGGGAUCUGAAGUUUCACAUAUAUAACAUGGGAAAUCCUGGCUUUGAUGAAGAAAGGGCUAUUUUCUAUGCUGCAGAACUGUGCUGUGGCCUGGAGGAUUUGCAGAGGGAGAGAAUUGUUUACAGAGACUUGAAGCCUGAGAAUAUACUUCUUGAUGACUGUGGGCAUAUCAGAAUUUCAGAUCUUGGAUUAGCUGUGCAGAUUCCAGAAGGAGAAACGGUCAGAGGUCGAGUUGGGACCGUGGGUUACAUGGCUCCAGAAGUGCUCAAAAAUGAAAAGUAUACAUUCAGUCCGGAUUGGUGGGGUCUUGGCUGCUUGAUUUAUGAAAUGAUUGAAGGACAGUCUCCAUUCAGGAAGCAUAAGGAAAGGGUCAAACGGGAUGAGAUUGACCGGAGAGUAAAGGAAGACCAGGAAACAUAUUCAGACAAGUUCUCAGAGGAGGCAAAAUCCAUCUGCAGGAUGUUGCUUGCUAAAAAUCCAGGGGAGCGACUGGGUUGCACUGAAGAUGGAGCUGCUGUUGUAAAGCAACAUCCUAUUUUCAGGAACAUUAACUUCAAGAGGCUGGAAGCAAACAUGUUAGAACCUCCAUUCUUGCCAGAUGUAAGUAGCCACGUGCUGUAUAUUGUAAAGAUGUCCUGGACAUAGAGCAGUUCUCAACAGUAAAAGGAGUGAACCUGGAUACUACAGAUGAUGACUUCUAUUCCAAGUUUGUUACGGGUUGUGUCUCCAUCCCUUGGCAAAAUGAGAUGAUUGAAACGGGAUGCUUUGAAGAUAUCAAUGCGUAUGAAACCGAUGGUACUGUGUCACCAGACAGAGAGAGGUCUCCUAAACCAAAGAGAGGCUUCUUUCACAGACUCUUUAGUGGAGAGGUCUGUUUUAAAUCUGAUUGCAGUGAUGAUGAGCAGGAGUCCUCCAGACUUUAAAUCAUUUUACUCUCAUCAGAAAGGAUGAGCAAACGUUAAAUGUUUUAUAUCUCUGUAGCAAAUUGUAUUAUAUAUAUUUUUUAUCUGAGUUCAAGGAUUUUUGUACAUUUGUACUUCAUUUGUUUUAAGAUGUAUAUUUUCACUAAAGCUUAAUUGUACAAAAAGCAAUGAGUGCCAUUUGAGUGAGUGUGUUUCUGUAUGUAUUUGAUUUAUCUUGAUUAAUUUUUUCUCAGUGGAAUGAAUCUAGGAAUACUAAAAGGAUUUUAAAGCACAGAGAUAAUACCUAUGGCAUCAGUGUAACUUGACUUUGUUUGUUCCUGGUAAAACUCUUUUUGUUAAUUAGGAUCUUUAUUAGCAGUUUUCUUAACUUUAAAAUUGCUGUACUGAUGAAUUUAAUAAUUCUGGUACUAUCCAGCAGCAUGGCAGUGCUAUUACCUAAUGUAUCUCUCAAGCAACUGCUAAGACAAAAAAAAGGAAUUCAGUGCACUGUGACCAGCUAUUAGGAAUUGCUCUUUACUAUCUGGCUCUGUAGAAUAUCUUUCUGUAUUUCUGUAUAAAGAGAAUUCUGAACAUUUAGCUUAAUCUUGUGACAAACUGCAGUGCCCCAUUCUUCUUUUUUCUACCCAUCUUACACAUCCUCUUCAUACAGUUUCUUGGCAGGAACCUAUGCCAAAAUUUUGUAACUAUAUUUUGAAAAGUGUGUUGUCUUUACUGAAAGGAUUUCUUUAUACCUGUGGGGACACCUUUUUAUUUUUUUCUGUAAAUGAAAUUGUUUUUAACUCUCUUUAGGAUGUUAUAAUUUUGUAAUGGGUUAAAAAACAAAACAUGGGCUCUUUUUACUAACCUCCUCUCUGCUUAUUAUGUUGUAAUAUGCAAUGUUGUGGGGUUGACAGCGAUCACUGCCACUGAGGAAAGGGCAAGAUAAUUUAAAGUAGCAAAUUUAAUUAUGUAAAUAUUUUUUUCUUAUAACCUUUUAAAACAGAAACAUUAAAACCUGCCUUUAAUGAUUGCUUAACACAAAUGUGGAGCUGGUAUUGAAGUUUGUUAUGAUUACUUGAUGUUCAUUAGUAAAACUGAUAAAAGGUACCUGAAAGCUAGUCAAACUUCCGUUCUUCUGGACUCACACAUGCCAGACUUUUUAUUUGGUUUCCAGUAAAACUAUUCAUCUCUGUGUGAGAGUCAAUUUAAAGAGCACAUUUCAUUAAGAGCCUUUUCUGUUUUCAAAAUUUGAGUUAGGGACUUAAAAUAUAAUGGAAUGCUCUUGGAGUUGGAGACAUGACUUUAGUUACAUAUUUUGUUCUGUAUUCUGAAGAUUUGUCUCCACUGAACAUUCUUUUUUUUUUUUUCUCUCAAAUCUCUGGGGCACCAACCAGACCACACAUGUAUUGUACACACAGAGCAACUGAGUAGCCCCACCUCAAAAAGGUCUCUGCUUGUGAUCCACAGACCCACUGGAAGAAAUUUAAGCUGCUUCUGAGAAACUCACAACAUACAUUUGGUUGUCAAGCCCAUCAUCAGGUUUUAAUUCACAGUAUUUGGUCUCUAAAGACAAAUGUUUUGGUGGAUUAGAAUUUGAAAAAAGUUGAAAAACCAGUGUGUUACAGAACCCUACUGGGGCUCAGCUGGUGUCUAUCUGAAAUUGCCACAGAAAUAAGGAAUGAGAGACUCUUUUCCUAUGUUGUUAGUGCAUUUUUCCUGCAGUCUACAGCAGCACACAGGACACCAAAAUGACUUGUGGAAAGUACAAAGAAAUUGGCAGAGGGAGAGAGAGUUUGACUGAAUUACUGGAAGAUGGUCUGAUGUAAUAGUGAAGGGAUGGGAGGCUUGACAGAAAGAGAAAUGUCUGAAGUGAGGGUGUUGGCUGGAACCAUUAUGUGUGAGACAAUGAGCUGGCAUGGUCUGACCUGACCCUCUUAAUUUUGUACCACAGUAAUAGAAGGACUCUAAAGAGAUGGGAAUGGAAAAAUGGGGAAGUAGUAAAAGUGUUUUAUAAAUACCUACCUGAUUGCAGAAGUCAUCAUUUCCCUGAUUAAGGGGAUUAGUUUUUUAAGGUCUUAGGUUUGCUGUUUUGAGGCAAAGGGGGCUGUAUUAAGACUGGACAAAUGGGGUGACAGAGUGGGUUUAAUAUCUGCAUAGAACAACUUGAAAUUGGGCAAGAAUACCAUGGACACAAGCUGAGUAAAUUUUAUGAAGAAAAUACAGGAAUGGGCUUUAAUAGAUUAAAAAAAAAAUAUCUGCAAGUUUAUUUAUCAUGUAUUUCAAAUUUUCUUUCCUCAUUGGAUGGAGAGGAAUCUUAACUUAAAAAAAAUCAAAUCAACUUCUCUAUUUUGGAGUGUUGAGACAGCACAUUCUCCAGGGUUCUGCAAAAAAAAAAA